rnacentral:lncRNA from 1 species
AUAAAUCCUGUUUGGUUUUAGUUUCUCUGCUGGGCAGCAAGUGCCUCCUUGAAGGGAGAUCUGGAUGGUGUAUCUCCACGUCCACCACAGCUAGCAUCAGACCUGCGGCACUGAGUCCCUCUGGAUCUCGGUCUCCUUCCUCAUCUCUGCGAGGCUCACUGCCUACUCACAGCUACUUCCCUAAAUCACCCAGCUCAGAGAGAACUGUCCACAUGCUUGCCAUUCAUCCUCUUGCUGUGUGGAGGGUUUGUCUGAUUCUAAGAGGCAGAAGGCUUUUCUCCUGCUCCUACCUUGCUGGCCAUGUGUGCUGCUCGGAAAAUGGUGCCUCAACACUGCUGUAGCCAAUGAGGUGAGCUCCGGCAUGUGCACCAGGAAGCUGUUUCCAGAUGAUCCUGCAUAUCGGUGG